rnacentral:rRNA from 1 species
ACCUUCGGGUGAGUGGCGCACGGGUGAGUAACGCGUGGGAACAUACCUUUCGGUGGGGGAUAACCUUGGGAAACUGAGGCUAAUACCGCAUACGCCCUUUGGGGGAAAGAUUUAUUGCCGAAAGAUUGGCCCGCGUCCGAUUAGCUAGUUGGUGUGGUAACGGCGCACCAAGGCGACGAUCGGUAGCUGGUCUGAGAGGAUGAUCAGCCACACUGGGACUGAGACACGGCCCAGACUCCUACGGGAGGCAGCAGUGGGGAAUAUUGGACAAUGGGCGCAAGCCUGAUCCAGCCAUGCCGCGUGAGUGAUGAAGGCCUUAGGGUUGUAAAGCUCUUUCGGCGGGGACGAUGAUGACGGUACCCGCAGAAGAAGCCCCGGCUAACUUCGUGCCAGCAGCCGCGGUAAUACGAAGGGGGCUAGCGUUGUUCGGAAUUACUGGGCGUAAAGCGCACGCAGGCGGCGAUCCAAGUCAGAAGUGAAAGCCCUGGGCUUAACCCGGGAAUUGCUUUUGAUACUGGGUUGCUUGAAUCACGGAGAGGGUAGGGGAAUUCCGAGUGUAGAGGUGAAAUUCGUAGAUAUUCGGAAGAACACCAGUGGCGAAGGCG